UGAGUAACACGUGAGCAACCUGCCCCUGACUCUGGGAUAAGCGCUGGAAACGGCGUCUAAUACUGGAUACGAACCACAGUCGCAUGGCUGGUGGUUGGAAAGAUUUUUUGGUUGGGGAUGGGCUCGCGGCCUAUCAGCUUGUUGGUGAGGUAAUGGCUCACCAAGGCGUCGACGGGUAGCCGGCCUGAGAGGGUGACCGGCCACACUGGGACUGAGACACGGCCCAGACUCCUACGGGAGGCAGCAGUGGGGAAUAUUGCACAAUGGGCGGAAGCCUGAUGCAGCAACGCCGCGUGAGGGAUGACGGCCUUCGGGUUGUAAACCUCUUUUAGCAAGGAAGAAGCGAAAGUGACGGUACUUGCAGAAAAAGCGCCGGCUAACUACGUGCCAGCAGCCGCGGUAAUACGUAGGGCGCAAGCGUUAUCCGGAAUUAUUGGGCGUAAAGAGCUCGUAGGCGGUUUGUCGCGUCUGCUGUGAAAUCCCGAGGCUCAACCUCGGGCCUGCAGUGGGUACGGGCAGACUAGAGUGCGGUAGGGGAGAUUGGAAUUCCUGGUGUAGCGGUGGAAUGCGCAGAUAUCAGGAGGAACACCGAUGGCGAAGGCAGAUCUCUGGGCCGUAACUGACGCUGAGGAGCGAAAGGGUGGGGAGCAAACAGGCUUAGAUACCCUGGUAGUCCACCCCGUAAACGUUGGGAACUAGUUGUGGGGUCCUUUCCACGGAUUCCGUGACGCAGCUAACGCAUUAAGUUCCCCGCCUGGGGA
rnacentral:rRNA from 1 species